rnacentral:tRNA from 1 species
UUCAGGAUGGCUAAGUGGUUAUGGCUUCGGAUUUCUAAUCCGAUUGACUGUUGCGUCUGUAGGUUCGAUUCCUGCUCCUGGAC